rnacentral:rRNA from 1 species
UACGAACCGUGCAAACGUUAUUCGGAAUCACUGGGCAUAAAGGGCGCGUAGGCGGCUUCAUAAGUCAGGGGUGAAAUCCGGCAGCUCAACUGUCGCAGUGCCUUUGAUACUGUGAAGCUCGAGGGAGGUAGGGGUCUGUGGAACUUCCGGUGGAGCGGUGAAAUGCGUUGAUAUCGGAAGGAACGCCGGUGGCGAAAGCGACGGACUGGAUCUAUUCUGACGCUGAGGCGCGAAAGCCAGGGGAGCAAACGGG